ensembl:lncRNA
UGUUGCGGUUGUGUGUUGUUAGGGAUGGUGAAAGCAUAUUGUCAGGAGAGCUGAUGUUUUGACAUGUGACGCACACCCACCGUCGCUUUACUUAAAGGGGAAUACUGUGCAAUUUAUGGAAUAAAUGCUUUUCCUCCAAGGAGAUCAAUGGAGAUGAGAGAAAUAUUAAUACCUUUUAAAACCUGUAGUGGUUUUCCUCCAUCCUUGUAUUGUCAGGUCAAGCUGAGCCUCCAGUCUGAUCCGACUCCAAGCGAUAAAUGCGUCAUCGCUCUUUGGAGGGCCGGGGUGACAUUUUAACUCGUUUAAGCUCCACAGAGACCUCAACAAUGAAUUGUCUGUGCAUACGACGCCGGGCCUCUCCUCAAUACAGCCAUUUAACUUGGUUGCUACGGCAACAGGGCUCACCCGGGUGACGGCGGCGAUGACGGAGCAAUCGCUGACAGUCUGACUUCAAGACUGGCCGCAAGUUUUUCCAGGAAGUUCAAAACGCUUAGCCUUUUCCCGAUCACUAAGGAAGCGGCAUUAUGCAACGCAGUGCAACAGGGAAGUGGCUGGUGACAUGUUUGCUGUGAAACGGACUGAUUGCAGUUAGACGUGCUCUGAUAACACCUAUUAUGUGAUUAUAUAUUUAAAGCAAGUGGAAAAUAUGCCAUAUUAAAGCUAUGUAAUUGCACCUUUUUUCCGAUAUGUGCAUUUACCAUUUUGAGUGACGCGUGAAUUGAUAUUAUCCUCACAGACUAGUAUUAAGGUAAUCUAAGCAUUACUGCGACAGCAUGACGGUGCAAAUGCUGCAACCACAACAUAAAGAGACUUACUUAGAACACACCAACUUCCAUUUUCUAGAUCCAAAACCACACAAAGAUAGAAAAAGAGAUGCGAAAAUUCAAGUGUAGUGUUCGUCUUGACAGGAGAGCCACAGUUUCCUAUAUUUCUGCAUAAAUAUGACCUGUAAUGGAAUCACAUUUCAGACCCAAAAGACCGAAAAGCAAUAAGACAAAGAAAAGAAAGAAAGGAUUAUACUUUCUAAUUUAUUUACUGGGGAACAUUAUAUAAUAUUAAAUAUCUGGGAGUGAACCUUUGCUGCUACAGCUGCAACUAAAUGUUUCCUGUUGGUAUUCAUCAGUCCUGAUUCAUCUUUGAGGAAUUUAAGCAAAUCAGCUUCAACUCUGAAAUGCUGAUGGAUUUUAUCUCAUUAAGUACUCACUGUAUUUCCUUCCACAACAUCUCUACCAGAUUAAGAUCAGGAUUUUGAUUUGGCAUUUCAAAACAUGAACCUAUCUGAGGUCUGUUUGCAGAUUUAGCUCAUAGACAGAUGUCUUGACAAUGUCCUUUAGCUGGUGUAAUACAUCAGAGCUGGUAGAAUGUAACAGCUGAGAGUCCUCAUACUGAUGCUAGUUGCUAUUUUUUUUAAUUUGUCAGUAUAUUUUUCAUUUUUAUAGAUGCUGUUCUUGCCAUUGCUACUCCACAU